rnacentral:rRNA from 1 species
UACGUAGGGUGCAAGCGUUGUCCGGAAUUAUUGGGCGUAAAGAGCUUGUAGGCGGUUUGUCGCGUCUGCUGUGAAAUUUCGGGGCUCAACCCCGAACUUGCAGUGGGUACGGGCAGACUAGAGUGUGGUAGGGGAGACUGGAAUUCCUGGUGUAGCGGUGAAAUGCGCAGAUAGUCAGGAGGAACACCGAUGGCGAAGGCAGGUCUCGUGGGCCAUAACUGACGCUGAGAAGCGAAAGCAUGGGGAGCGAACAGG